GCGGGGGUCUCCCGGCGCGGCGCGGCCCCUGCGUGCCGGAGGAGCCGCCGGAGGAGCCGCGUUCCCGCCGGGAGCCGCGCGCCGUCCGCCGCCGGGAGCGACGCCAGCCCGGGAGCGCGCCCAGCAAGGGGCGCUGAGGAACACUUGUAGCUUCGGAGUGUGCCUGCGGUUUCAUCAAGUGGUGUUCCUAGUAUAUUGCUCCUGGACCUUGGUACGAUGAAGGAGAGUUGUAUCACUCCUAAGAUACAGGUUCCUUCCCACUUUCAAGGUAUCCUACUGUGUCCACAUCUCACUUCUAUUACUCUUUGUUGUUCUUGCAGUGUUCUCAAAGCCACUAAUCAUUCCGUGUGAUAUGGUGUCCUGGUGUUGGAAUCAUUUUCCAGUCUUUAUUGGGUAUCGGUCCUUUUACCCGUGAACCAUGAGUCCAACCUCUUUCUGCCAUUUGAACUGUGGUUUCUGUGGUUAAAAGAACAAGAAAUGGUCCUUCCCACCAAGGUUCUAAACCUUCUCCAAUCCAGCAUUUUAUCAACAUGUACUGUCCUGGUCAAACAGAAUGUAUCGAAAAAUCAAUGGGAGUUGUCUGAGCUAAAAUGCCUCUCUCUUAGCUCCCUCAAAUUUUUUGCGAUAGUUGUAAUAUACCCCUGGGUGGUUUUGUCCCCGAUUAGUGAGGGAUCCAUUAUCAUCCCUUGAGGGUAAGGCAGUCUAUAUAACAUCUCAUAUGGUGAGAUCCUAGUUUCAGAGUGGGGCUUGGUUCUAAUAUCUAACAGGGCUAAGGGAAGGCAUCUGGUCCAAGGCAAUUUGGUUUCUAUCAUUAACUUAGUUGCUGUUUAAUAGUUUGAUUCAUCCUUUCAGCUCGUCCUGAGCUUUCAGGAUGCCAUGAGCUAUGAUAUCCCAAGAAAUUCCUAAUGUUUGACUUAAAUUUUUAAUUAUUCCUGAGGUAAAAUUAGUACCCUGAUCCGAAUCAAUAGCCUGCACUAAUCUGAAUCUUGGAAUAAUAAGCUCCAACAAAAUCUUGGCUACUGUUUGAGCUGUAGCCUGAGCAGCAGGGUAUGCUACUACUCACUGAGUCAUUUGAUCUACUAUAACUAAUAGAUAUUUCCACUGGCCCACUCUCGGUAAUUUGGUAAAAUCAACUUGGAUCUUUUCAAACAGCCUGUAGACUGUCCAGUGGCUUCCAGAGGGAGGACUACUCAACACCUUUUUGUUCACUUUUUGAGAAGUGAGACAUCCCUCA